CGGGGUGGAGUAAUGUCUGGGAAACUGCCUGAUGGAGGGGGGUAACUACUGGAAACGGUAGCUAAUACCGCAUAAUGUCGCAAGACCAAAGUGGGGGACCUUCGGGCCUCUUGCCAUCGGAUGUGCCCAGAUGGGAUUAGCUAGUAGGUGGGGUAACGGCUCACCUAGGCGACGAUCCCUAGCUGGUCUGAGAGGAUGGCCAGCCACACUGGAACUGAGACACGGUCCAG
rnacentral:rRNA from 1 species